CAAAUCGACCGCCCAGAUGCCAAUCUUCGCCUACCAUCCAGCGGGGUCGUCUGUGGGGGGAUUUUGCGUGAAUGAGAUGUCGUAACAGGAGCGCGCGGUGUUACACCCGCGGCGGGGUCCAUCUUAUCAUAAACGACGCCGUCACCCAGUGGGGCCCCCCACAAAGUUUCUUCGUCGAGGGUCACGCUCCCGGGCGCGAUGCAGCCCCGGAUCCAGCCGCCCGCCUGAGGGACCAACCAAACUCUUUCUGUAGUCCCCUCGCGGACGUUAUUUCUUCCAGCUCUGAGCAAAAAUUCAAAAUGAAUCAAAACUUUCAACAACGGAUCUCUUGGUUCUGGCAUCGAUGAAGAACGCAGCGAAAUGCGAUAAGUAAUGUGAAUUGCAGAAUUCAGUGAAUCAUCGAAUCUUUGAACGCACAUUGCGCCCGCCAGUAUUCUGGCGGGCAUGCCUGUCCGAGCGUCAUUUCAACCCUCGAACCCCUCCGGGGGGUCGGCGUUGGGGAUCGGGAACCCCUAAGACGGGGUCCCGGCCCCGAAAUACAGUGGCGGUCUCGCCGCAGCCUCUCCUGCGCAGUAGUUUGCACAACUCGCACCGGGAGCGCGGCGCGUCCACGUCCGUAAAACACCCAACUUUCUGAAAUGUUGACCUCGGAUCAGGUAGGAAUACCCGCUGAACUUAAGCAUAUCAAUAAGCGGAGGA
rnacentral:rRNA from 1 species